rnacentral:lncRNA from 1 species
AAAUGUAAAAAUAAGUAAACAAGAAUUAAAAAAUGAAUGUUAAGUGGAUCUUUAAAAACAAUAAUGAAUUAUACAAAAUAAAAAAACUCAAUUAAAAUAAAAUUAAAAUGAAAGGGAUAAUUUAUAAAUAAAAUAAACUUUUGAAAUUAAAAUAGGGACCAACGCGCAAUGCGUGCGAAUGCAUAGGGACCAAAGUUGGAAAUAUUCUAGAUCCCAAAACAAUGCACUCAGGCGAGGACCAAAUUGGAUCUACGCACGGAUUACAGAGAUAAAUUAAAAAAUAAGAAGAAAAUAAAUAAAGCUCAAUUGAACAACGACGCAGAUGGGAAGGAUUUAUGGCACAAAUAUCCCCUUUAAACAAAAAUGAGCAGAUCCUCACGGGUAACCGGAUCAAGUCGGGUCGGGUAUAGUCAAUACGACACUGUUUUGGAGCCACUGAAACAGGCUCAAAACGGCACCGUUUUUGGUCCUUUAAAAAGACUAAAACUAGGCCACAUUCGGCCAACCAACCCUAGCCCCUUUCUUCUCAACCAACAAACCCUAAAUCCCUUCUCUCAAACACCGAUCCACCACCACGAACGGCGACCAGAGUUUUUGGGCUUCGAAGAGAUGGAUUUUAGCCUUGUGAUCCCCUUUCGGCUUUGAUUUCAACGAAGCGAAAAGGAACCGAUGGCCGAUUCGCAAGGUAAGAUCUCGCUUUUCCCUCUUUCUUUUGUUUUUAAAUGCAAUGAUGAAAAAAAAAUCGAAUGAAGUAGAUAAGAAAAUUCAACAGAAAAUUUAAGAAACUAAAAAAUAGAAAUCACCUUUUUCAGAAUUGCUUUUGAAAUCCUUUUUUGAUAUUUAGUAUGCAUAAUCUUUUCAAGUACAAACGAUGGCUUUUUAUAGCUGGAAAAAUAAGAAUUAAAAUUAAAAGAAAUCUAUUUUCUUUUCUUUUUUGCUAUUUUUCCAUUGUAUUCUGUUAUUGCUGCUUCUCGUGUAUUCUGUUGCAGGAAUAAUCGUACGGAGGAAGUCGCCCUGGUGACGUGGAGGCCGUGCGUGGGAAACCACUCGUGGGAGUGGCUGGCUGCGGCGCUAGCUGGUUCCAGAAACCCUAGAGGUUUCUGGUGCUUUCAACCUAUUGGGCUUGUUUGGGCCAUUUGUAAAUUGGGUUAGGGAUGUAGGUUUAUUAAUGUUUGCAUUUGGGCUGAUAUGAUUUUGGUAUUUGAAUUUAUUGAAAGUUGUAAAUGGACUAUUUGGGCUAUUUUAAUCUUUGGACUUUAUUUGCCUUUUUAUUUUAAUCUAUUUGGUUUAUUUAUUUGGCUCAUUUAUUUUAUUGUAAAUAACUUAAAUGGUCCCGGACAAAUUGAGCUAAUUACAAAUGACAUGUAGAUAAUUAAUCGGCAAAGUCACGCGCAACGUGGAUCGAACCACCAACCCAUUAAUUAUCCCAUUCGCAUGCGACUUCAUCAAUUAAUUAUCUACGUGUCCUUU